GGUUUAGCUCAGUUGGUUAGAGCGUGGUGCUAAUAACGCCAAGGUCGCGAGUUCGACCCUCGUAAUGACCA